rnacentral:rRNA from 1 species
GAUGAACGCUGGCGGCGUGCCUAAUACAUGCAAGUCGAGCGAACAGACGAGGAGCUUGCUCCUCUGACGUUAGCGGCGGACGGGUGAGUAACACGUGGAUAACCUACCUAUAAGACUGGGAUAACUUCGGGAAACCGGAGCUAAUACCGGAUAACAUGUUGAACCGCAUGGUUCAACAGUGAAAGACGGUUUUGCUGUCACUUAUAGAUGGAUCCGCGUCGCAUUAGCUAGUUGGUAAGGUAACGGCUUACCAAGGCAACGAUGCGUAGCCGACCUGAGAGGGUGAUCGGCCACACUGGAACUGAGACACGGUCCAGACUCCUACGGGAGGCAGCAGUAGGGAAUCUUCCGCAAUGGGCGAAAGCCUGACGGAGCAACGCCGCGUGAGUGAAGAAGGUCUUCGGAUUGUAAAACUCUGUUAUUAGGGAAGAACAAAUGUGUAAGUAACUAUGCACGUCUUGACGGUACCUAAUCAGAAAGCCACGGCUAACUACGUG